rnacentral:rRNA from 1 species
CCUACGGGUGGCAGCAGUGAGGAAUAUUAGUCAAUGGGCGCGAGCCUGAACCAGCCAAGUAGCGUGAAGGAUGACUGCCCUACGGGUUGUAAACUUCUUUUAUAAAGGAAUAAAGUGAGGCACGUGUGCCUUUUUGUAUGUCCUUUAUGAAUAAGGAUCGGCUAACUCCGUGCCAGCAGCCGCGGUAAUACGGAGGGGCCGAGCGUUAUCCGGAUUUAUUGGGUUUAAAGGGAGCGUAGAUGGGUUGUUAAGUCAGUUGUGAAAGUUUGAGGCUCAACCGUAAAAUUGCAAUUGAUACUGGCAGCCUUGAGUACAGUAGAGGUAGGCGGAAUUCGUGGUGUAGCGGUGAAAUGCUUAGAUAUCACGAAGAACACCGAUUGCGAAGGCAGCUUACUAAACUGCCACUGACAUUGAUGCUCGAAAGUGUGGGUAUCAAACAGGAUUAGAUACCCCAGUAGUC